GAGUUUGAUCGUGGCUCAGAGUGAACGCUGGCGGUAGGCCUAACACAUGCAAGUCGAACGGCAGCACAGUAAGAGCUUGCUCUUAUGGGUGGCGAGUGGCGGACGGGUGAGGAAUACAUCGGAAUCUACUUUUUCGUGGGGGAGUAACGUAGGGAAACUUACGCUAAUACCGCAUACGACCUACGGGUGAAAGCAGGGGAUCUUCGGACCUUGCGCGAUUGAAUGAGCCGAUGUCGGAUUAGCUAGUUGGCGGGGUAAAGGCCCACCAAGGCGACGAUCCGUAGCUGGUCUGAGAGGAUGAUCAGCCACACUGGAACUGAGACGACGGUCCAGACCUCCGUACGGGAGGCAGCAGGUGGGGAAUAUUGGACAAGUGGGCGCAAGCCUGAUCCAGCCAUACCGCGU
rnacentral:rRNA from 1 species